AUCAGCCUUUCGGGUGCGAUUCUGUGGGGUUUGAGGAGCUUAACACCUUCAUGCUUUGCAUAUUCGUGCUCUUGGGUGUACUUGCCCGUGUGGUUGGUUAACAUCAAUUUUGGUGGUCAUAAAAUGACUGGAGGAAUGUAGCUUCGAUCUUGUAUUGAAGUGUUAUAGCCUUCGGUAGAUGUGAUGAUCGAGAUUGAGGAUUGCAACGGAUACCCUUCGGGGCUACCUGUCUGGUCUCUGAUCGUUGCUCUGGCGCCGAAAGCUUGCUUACGGUUAUCAAAGUCGAUGGUCAAUAGGUUAGAACGGGUUAAAUUCGUUAAGGAUGUUGACGUAAUGGCUCU
rnacentral:rRNA from 1 species